rnacentral:rRNA from 1 species
UACGUAGGGGGCAAGCGUUGUCCGGAUUUAUUGGGCGUAAAGAGCGUGUAGGCGGUUAGGUAGGUCCGUUGUGAAAACUCGAGGCUUAACCUCGAGAGGUCGGUGGAAACCAUCUGGCUAGAGUCCGGAAGAGGAGAGUGGAAUUCCUGGUGUGAGCGGUGAAAUGCGCAGAUAUCAGGAAGAACACCCGUGGCGAAGGCGGCUCUCUGGGACGGUACUGACGCUGAGACGCGAAAGCGUGGGGAGCGAACAGG